AAAAAAACGUUUCAACUGUCCACCCACAUUUCACUACCUCUCAUAUACCAUCUCUGCUUGAAAAAAACCCACAACUCUCACUACGCUGCCGCUUGAAAAACCCAUCCACCAAUGUCGCCAAUCAACGCCAAAUCGGAGUUUUGGGAGACGAAGCAUGGAUCGGGUUCCGUCGACAGAGAGACGGUGGUGUGUCACUCAACCACCGGUGAGGGCAAGCUUUCUAACAGCAGUUAGGUGUCUCGAACUGGUUCACGGCGGCGCUUAGGGUUCUGGCGUCCUGCCUCUAUAUUAAGAUUUGGGAAGUUAAUUAUGAAGAGUUGAGAGUGAAUCGGAUCAACAGCCCGUCUCUCUGCAGCCGUAGCAGCAAGCUUUACCAACGAGCCACCGUCGUAAUGUGUGCACCUAUUCGAGGGAACUGGGAGUUGUUGACGGAGCUUGCAAAAAGUUGUCAUAUCGGGAUUAAGAUGGACUUCAUUAGGUACUUGGAUGUCAUUUGCUGCCAAACUAGGAGAUGUUGAUAGUUUAUGGAAGAGGAGAUGUUGAUAGUUUAUAGAAGAUUGAGAAAAUUAAGAUUGGGGCCGAUGAAAAUACACACAAUUGGUAGCGCUUUUUCAUGUGCAAAAGUGAUUACUUCUUGAAUGCAAACCCGAAGAAGCAGCCGCAAUAAUUCAAGCAGUCACUCAGAAAGUACAUACAUUUAGUUUCACGUCUAGAUUUUCAGUUAGAUUUUAGUGAGAUUCAUUUUAUGUAGCUUCGUUUUGUACAUCCUUGAUUUAUAGGUUAGGCGAUGUGACAAUGGAAUGUUAACUUGGGUUUUAUUUUGGGUUUUAUCAAGUAUGAUGCAUAUGGGAUCCCCGCCGCAUUGCGGCGGGUAAUAAAUCUAGUUAUAAUGUCAUUCAAACAGUUUUGAGAAAAAGGAUUGUGUAACUUUAUUAUUACAGUAAACUGUCAUUUUGGUCCCUGAGGUUUGGGCAGUUUUGCCACUUUAAUCCAAAACUUUCAUUUUGGUCCCUGUGAUUUCAGUUUUGUGCCAUUUUGGUCCAAAAGUGAAUUCAGCUCAUAUUCCUCAAAUUAAAUCCUUGUUUUCUGUCCUUAUCUUCAGGGGUAAAUUGGUUAUUUUUUUAUUUUUUAUUUAAAUUAAAGACCCCUCUGUCUCUCCCUUCUCUCUCUUAAAUUAGCAUACCCAAACCCUCUUAAAUUAGCAUACCCAAACCCUCAUAUUCAUUCUCUUCGCUGGAUCCACCACACCACGACCACCCUCCUCCUCCCUCUCACUCUCGUCUUCUCUGGCGAGGUUCUCCGGCAACACCACAAACUUCUCUUCUCAUCAAAGAUACAUACACACACUAUACCUAUACAUCUAGAGAGAGAAAGAUUGUGUGAGAAAUAGACCCAGAAAUCCAAACCUGAAACCCUCUUCUUUCUCUCUCUAAAAAUCCGAUCUUUAAAAAUCCGAUCUUGAAACCCAAACCUGAAACCCUCUUCUUUCUCUCUCUAAUGGAGAUGUCACAGUCCGAUCCGGUGACUAAACAAACAAGGCUCGAAGAGCCUGUGUGGCAGUUAGGGUUGCAGAUUGUUUCUCUCUCUAGGUUUUGAAAAUUUUUAUGGUUAUGGGAGAAUGAAGGAAGGUGACAGGUGGUGGUUGCAGGCGGCGGUUUGAAGAAGGGGCGGCAGGUGGUGGUUGAAGGUUGGUUUUAAUGGUGGUAGACUGAUGGUGAUGGUGGUGGAAGAGUACUGAGAGAGAGAGAUGGUGUGUGCGAGAGAGAGUGAAUGAAUGUGUGUAUCGCCGGAGUUCAAGAUUCCAUGGCGGUGAUUUCAGUCGGUUAUUCCGGUGCCGGAGUUGAAUGUUUUAGUUGUUUUGUUUCGCCGGUGACGGUACAUCUGGCGAAGAGAAUGAAUCAGGUUAACAGAUGAAUAUGAUUAUGAAUAUCUGAACUGUAUUAGAGAGAGAGAGAAUAGAGAGAGAGGGUGUUUAGAGAGGGAGAGAGU